CUUUAUGUGUUUAUGCUGGUUGUCACUCAGGCUGGUUUGCAGGCUGAUAGUCAGGAGUGGAUAAAGGUCAUUCACAUGAAAGGGAUCUAGUGCAGACCGUGAAGAUGUGUGGAAUUCCAGAUGGGACUGUGUGUGCGUAUGAGAAAAGAUAAAUGAAGGAAGGAUGAAUUGA